rnacentral:rRNA from 1 species
UUCGCAAUGCCCGAAAGGGUGACGAAGCGACGCCGCGUGUGGGAAGAAGGCCUUCGGGUUGUAAACCACUGUCAGGAGUUAAGAAAUAUAGAAAUGUUAAUAGCAUUUUUAUUUGACUAAAGCUCCAGAGGAAGCCACGGCUAACUCUGUGCCAGCAGCCGCGGUAAUACAGAGGUGGCAAGCGUUGUUCGGAAUUAUUGGGCGUAAAGAGCACGUAGGCGGCCUUGCAAGUCAGUUGUGAAAUCCUUCCGCUUAACGGGAGAACGGCGGCUGAUACUACAGGGCUAGAGUACGGGAGGGGAGAGCGGAACUUCUGGUGGAGCGGUGAAAUGCGUAGAUAUCAGAAGGAACGCCGGCGGCGAAAGCGGCUCUCUGGCCCGAAACUGACGCUGAGUGUGCGAAAGCUAGGGGAGCAAACGGGAUUAGAUACCCCGGUAGUCCUAGCCGUAAACGAUGGGCACUAAGUAGAGGGGUUUU